GAAGGUCAGAAAAUGGCUAUUGAUUAAUCUAUCAGAAUAGUUGCAGAGAGAAAUAAAAAGGACGUAAAAUAACAGAGAACCUAUAAAUAAAGCCGCAACUAGCUGCUCGGAGUUGUUAAACGACUUAGCAUGUGAAAAAGUCGGAAAUGAGGCGCUGGGGAAGGAGCCGGCAUUGGCAGCGGCCUGGGGUAUAGACAAACCCUCCAAGAUUUUAGUUCCUCAGAGACCGGCAACAGAGGAGGUGGAGGAGGAGGCGAGGAUAUGGCCAGUGCACACCGAGUUUCUUUGGCAAGGAAAGUCAGUGAUGGCAGCCUCCUUGCGAGCCGCGAGUGCCUGCCGGGUGUUAAGGGCUCCUGGAACCCAAGCCCAGUCUGGCCACUGAGGCCUGAGAAGGGAGUGCAGGCCUUACCAGAGGAAGGAGCACAAGGGGAGAUAGUCUGAGAAGAAAUAGUGAAAUUCAGUAUUUACAUAAGACACUAAGAAACUAUGUCUGUGUCUCUCUCACCUACCACCUCUCUCAUUCCUUAGCCUGGACACAUACCUAAACUUGCUUCACUCAUAGGCAGUGCGACACACAGAUUGACUUCAAUUUUCAUUAGAUAAUUUCACGGAUAAAACACAAGCACAUUGGAUCCCCCACUUCGCAGGAUGUUUCUGGUUGAAGCCGGGGCAGUUCCUCCAUCUUGAGACGCCCAGGAAACUCCACGAUUUUUCUGUAUCUAAAUGAUACCCCGGUUGCACUUGACCCUAAAAUACAUCUGAGUUCAUUCCCGCAGCUGCACCGCUUUGUGCCCCGCAGGCUCCGAACCGUUUACAAUACCUUUUAGACAGCUUCCCGCAAAACCGACUGCAGCGGCGAACUGGCUGCCCGCUGUCCCUCGGCAGCGGAGGUCCCGGGUGAAACUGUCUCAGUAACCCAAUAAUUACAAAAAGAACGUCGGAGGGACACGUAAAAGAAACUGAAUCCACAAAUUCCUUUUGCUCAGCUUCGGUUGUCCAGCCCCAGAAGCAGGCGUGGGCCGGCAGGAGCCCCACCGCAGCCUAGGAGACUGGGCCCGCGUGGACGCGUUGCACGUGUGUGUGUACGCGCGGAAGGGUAGCGGCUCCAGGGGAUGCCCUCCGCAGUCUUCUUGAAGCAUCCUCCAAAUGAGCCUAAUUUCAAUUCCUCGGCCCGCCAGGGCUGGCUCUCAGCACUCCCUCGGCGCCGCUGUUUACUGCCUCUGAGCCUCCCUCGGCCAAGACCUGGCCCCAUCCGUCCAUUCCCCCGCGUCUCUUUGGGACCUCUCUGGGGAAAGGGGUGGGGGUGAACAACUCCCAGCCGCCAGUUCCAUUU